rnacentral:rRNA from 1 species
CCAGGGGAACUGAAACAUCUAAGUACCCUGAGGAAAAGAAAUCAACCGAGAUUCCCUUAGUAGUGGCGAGCGAACGGGGACUAGCCCUUAAGUGGCUUUGAGAUUAGCGGAACGCUCUGGAAAGUGCGGCCAUAGUGGGUGAUAGCCCUGUACGCGAAAACCUCUUAGUCAUGAAAUCGAGUAGGACGGAGCACGAGAAACUUUGUCUGAAUAUGGGGGGACCAUCCUCCAAGGCUAAAUACUACUGACUGACCGAUAGUGAACUAGUACCGUGAGGGAAAGGCGAAAAGAACCCCGGAGAGGGGAGUGAAAUAGAACCUGAAACCGUGUGCGUACAAGCAGUGGGAGCCCCUUCGUGGGGUGACUGCGUACCUUUUGUAUAAUGGGUCAGCGACUUACUGUCUGUGGCGAGCUUAACCGUAUAGGGGAGGCGAAGGGAAACCGAGUCUGAAUAGGGCGCAUAGUCGCAGGCAGUAGACCCGAAACCGGGUGAGCUAGCCAUGCCCAGGGUGAAGGUCGGGUAACACCGACUGGA